UGAUGAUUUGAUGAAGCUGAUGAAGACUUGGCAAAGAUGGGGAGGCGGAGGGAUGCAAAAAGAUGAUAGGCUGACUGUUUCAUUGUGCUAAUUGGAUAGAAAAGACCAGCUGAUCUAAAUAGCCAAUGUCCUGAUAUACAGCUCCCAACAAUGACUUUGAGGAAAUAAUGAGUGCAGAGUAACUGGCAGAUGUAUGAGAAAUAACCUCUGAGCUACGGCAAACGUGAGUAUAGUCUUUCUGUCUGAACUCACGCUAGCUUCAUAAUAUUGAAAAAGUGAAAUGGGACAUGAUGCCCUCGCUAGAGCAGAAUUCCACCUCCCAUUCGCUUGUCCCAGCUGUCGGGGGAAACAAAGGGAGGCAGAAUCUGCUUUGUAUUAACGAAGGUUGGUGUACUGAUGUCACAGUGCUGGAGGAAUGUGCAGCCCUCAGUUAGAAACUCUGUGCUGACCAACUGACGAUUCAUUGCUCUUGUAAACUUCUCAAAAGAACAUUUACUCUGUAUUCUUUAGUCAGGUGGUCCGCCAUCAUUUGACUACAGCCCGCUUACUUACUUAAUGCCAUAGUCUACACUCCCAUGACCCCACUAUUUUCUCCAUCCCCUCAGUUCAUACAGAAUUUGGUGAAAAUAAAUUGGAUUGGGCUAUGGAUUUUCAGCGUCAGGAUUUUUCAGUCUUUGCUUGGCAGGGAAGCUAAAUGAACAGUUCCAUGGAUUAAGGUGUGAAGGGUUCCUGUGAAGUGACAAGAAUACGGCGCGGAGGAGCUAUCAUCUGGACACAGGAGCAGCAGCAUCUCUCCACGCAUCCAACUGAUGGCUGUCACCAUGGGGUUUUUUUUGCAACCGGCGGAAUAAUACGGGUUUUUUUUUUGCAACCGGCGGAAUAAUACGGAGUUAGUUGGAAACGCAGUAUGCUGCUUAUUCACUUACAUAAUUAUAAAGUAGAGCCAUUAUGUAUCACAACUCAGACAGAGACCCAAACGCAGAUAUGAGGAAUAAGGUUUAAUGAAGAGGAAUUUGGGCAGGCAGUGUCAUUGUCGGAGGCAGGCAGGAGUUCGGUGCACGGGAGAUCAGGGGUUCAGAGGUGGCAUGCAGUGUCGUUGUCAGAGGCAGGCCGGAGUUCGGUACACAAGACGUGGGAGGUACAGAGGUGGCAGGCCGUGUCGUUGUCGGAGGCAGGCAGGGGUCAGUACACGGGGGAUCUCAAGAAUCGACUGGAAACUACGGGGAUAUAACGCUGGUAAGACCGAGUGAAACACACAAGACGAACUGGCAACAAGAACAGGGAAAAGACACAGGUUAUAUGCCCAAGGGAUAAUUGACAAACAGGGAACACCUGGUGUGGGAGGAGACAGGGGAAAAACAGGUGAAAACGGGUGAACACAAUUAGGGCGUGACAUUAUGUCUACCAGGGCCCUCCCAUCAAGGAGGCCAUGUCUGUCAAUUAUUACCUUUUUUGAAAAUGAUAACUUUAUUCAUCGAUUUAAAAUCCAGGAUUAGUCCCAGAUAAAUGCAAAACAUUUUUUCAAAAUAUCUGAUUUGUACAUUUUGUGAAACUCUCAUAUAUCCUAGGAAUGUCAAUUCCCUCUUGUCUGGGUUCCUCACAUCUUCCGGAUGUGUUUGGUUAAUUUCAUGAAGCUGAAUGAGCUACUAGUUAACAAUUUCAUGAUUUGAUUUUAAUAAGCAGACAACCAGGAAUCCAACUCGUGGAGCUUGGACCAAUCCUUGCUAGGCUUUGCUAACAUAAGAGCUGCAACACACCUUCAACACAUAGCAUCAUAUGGGCAUACAAAUUGCAGUCGUUAUUGCGUGUUUGUUUUUGCUCCGAAUCAUUUAUCUUAUUCACAUUAAUUGUGCUUAUACUCAUGCCCAUUUGCGUGUUUGCACUGACUUAGUAUGUAGUAGUUGUAUGUCAUCUUAAAAUAUUUAGAUGGAUGGUUUAGUAACCACGGCCGACAUUGUUUUGUAUGCUAACAGUAAUGCUACUUCUCUCCAAAGACAAUUUACCCAAAUCUUAUCAAAAAUCACUGUUGACACUGAUCCAGCACAGACAUGGGUGGUACAGCGACCAAUCAGAAAUCACAAUUCUCCUUGAGAAAGCACCGGCUCACCUUCAAAAUCCCAUCAGUUAAAUGGACACCCCAUUCAUUUUAAUCCUGGAUCCACUGAGCUUUGGCACUGGGCUAAAUACUCAACAGUGCCCUUCCUACAGUGUCCACAAUCUAAGCUCAGUUCUUCUUUUAUAGCAAGAACGGUUAGUUCAUUAUGUCCCUUACCUCUGCCAUGCUGCCUCCUGGCCAGACUCUCAUUGGUUUGAUUUGGAAGAAAAAUGUUCCCCCUGCUGUUGUUACUUUAUGAGGGAAGUUUAUUUUCACCAGACUGCAUCAGAGAAUUGUCAGAAUUCCCAGGGGAAAUUAGUCUGCAGUGCAUUUUCAGUCCGUUUGCCUAACUGACUCAAACUACUUAAUUGAAUUUCAGCAAACUCCAUGUAACAAUGCAUACACUUGUCAAAAAAAUAGUUUCCAUCUGUUUUACAUCAACGUACCAAACAAUGGCAGACAUUGUUUGGUACGAUAAGCCUUCACUUGGUCUCACUAGUCACUUAUUUUCCAAAAUUGGAAGUGUAAAAUGGAGAUAUCUUAAAUCAGAAAUGUAGCUUUGAGUUGAUGAAUGGAAGUUUAAUAUCUACUCUACCACAUACUACUUUGAAUUGUCAGAGCUUACACCUGUUAAUAUAUUGUAUGAUAUACAAUGCCACCUGAUUAAAAUUAUAUUUGUAGUGCCUUUACCCUAAUAAGAAACACAUCUCAAUGACAGCUCAAUUUUACUUUCUAAAAACAUACCGGCAUGCUUUUUUUUCCAGUCUGCAAAAUAUGCAUCAUUUGUAUUUUGUUUUUACAGUAUAUAACAAAUCUUUUAGUUAGUUUGCUUAUUGCAUAAAACGCUCCAGGACACACCUCUAGCAGAGUCGAUCUGAUAACAGAGAGAAGCUUUUUUAUUUGCAUGAUUAUAAAAUUGCGCUGCAACAGAAUUAUAGCCGGAAAUGGGAGGAAAAGUGGCACAGAGAAAACAAAUUAAUCAACCUUCUGAAUGUAGUAGAACAUAAAUGAAACUGUGUAAAAGUCAGGAAUGCCUGAGUAACCUUUUGUGGUGAAUCAUGCAACAAUAUGAAAAGAGUCGGGAUGAUGCUGCUUUAAGUGCUGAACAUCUGCCUCCCAGGAAUAGCUGCGGCGCCAUAAUUUCAAACGGACUCAAUUUUCUUUAGAUCCAUUCAUCCCCUCGCCGAUCAGGCUAAAUGUAUGAUUCAUUUUUUUGGUAGUUAAUCGACGUACGCCAGGAUUGUAUGAUCAUAUGACAAAGUGGGAAACUUGACAGAGAGUCAACCCCUUUUCUAUGAAACAAUACCAUAAUUAAAAAAACUAAAAUGAUGUCUCCUCACUGAACUCAAACUUCUUGUCUUCAGAUUUAAUUGUUCUGCCCCGUUAAGACAUUUGCUUUAAAAUUGAUUACACAAAUGGGAUGCCUCGUAUGUCACGGCUCAUUUGCGAUGAUUCCCUCGCUCUGAUUGGAUAGCUAAACACGUUAGCAGUGAAAAUUAUGUGGAGAUGGAGUGAAAGCGAAUGGUGCCCAUGUAUAUAUGAACAUAUCGCUGAUGAUGUGGCUCCAAUCAGCCAAUCUUAUAUUACAUUUUGAUGGGAAAUGGUCAUGAGAUGAGAUGAGAGUGGUCUCUCAAGGACAUUAAAGAUCACAUUCAUUCGACAAAAGCAGAGGCUGACCAUGGCCACAAGAAAUGUUCACCAGUUUGAUAGGACCUGAAACAAAAAAUAAACUAU
ensembl:lncRNA